GUUUACUUUUAAGGGUCGUCAGAGACUAUUACUUUGAAAGGCUACAGAUGUAACACAAGUAAUAGUAAAUUCUAGUAGAACAAAUUGCCCGUACGCUAUAAUUUU
rnacentral:rRNA from 1 species